GAGGGUUUUGGGGAUGGGAGGCCAUGCCUCCGAUAGAGAGAGAGACAGAGCGAGAGAGAGGGAGAGGGAGGAGUGGGGAUCUCAGUGCCAUUGCUGCAGAUCCUCGAUUUCAUGAGUGGGAGAGGGGGGACAGUCAAAAAAGUAUAGGGGUACUCCGAUCUCUCUCUCUCUCUCCUCCGUUUCUCUCUCUUAAUUUCCUUUUGGUUUUGGAAAUCUCUGACCUUUUGGGUGAGUGAGAGAUUAUUGAUGAUGAGAAAAGUAUGGAGGUCUGACCUUUUGGUUUGGGUAUGCUUUCAUUCCUCAAUUUUCUCCAUCCGAGCAAUGAAAAAUCGAACUGGGUUUUCAGAUUAUUGAUGCACAGGGAUUCACGGACAGAGAAGGGAGAGAGAGAGAGUUGAUUGAGGGAGUUGGUGAGUAUGGGCUUGCAUAGAGGGAAGAUCAAAACAAACGUGAAAAGCGCAUGCCCUCCCUCCUAAGUGGGAAAUGGCGAGCGCAGUGGACCCAAUUUCAUGGAAGGUAACCAUCUUCAAAUUUUCGGUUUGAUUUAAAGGAAUUUUUUAGGCAGAAAAGCUAGGGCUUUCCGAAGUUUGUACUGCCUCAUCAUUAGAACUGUUUCCUUCUGCUCUUCUUCUCGAAACAAGGUCGCAGAUCCACAGGCCAUCAAGAUAAUUUGGUUCAUGCUAAGGUUAUUGAACGUACGAUGGAACCAGUGAUCUUUCAAAAAGCUGCCAAAACUUUGCCUACACUGUCCAUCUCUAUUCUCCACCGUCCGUUACUCUACGAAAACUUUUCCUACACUGUCCAUCUCUGUUCUCCGCCGUCCAUCACUGUAAGGGUGUUGUGCGAGAAGGCCAAGGAAAUAUUAAUGGAAGAAAGCAAUGUCCAGCCUGUAAAAAGCCCUUUAACUAUCUGUGGCGAUAUUCAUGGACAAUUCCAUGAUCUGGCGGAGCUUUUCCGCAUUGGAGGAAAGCCAUUGUUCUGAUUUGGGCUAUUUAAUUUAUCGUAUGUGUUCUUCAAGUGCCCAGAUACAAACUAUUUGUUUAUGGGAUAUUAUGUGGACCGUGGCUAUUAUUCAGUUGAAACAAUGACCGGUUUUGAUCAAUGGCAAGCCCAAAAGGCCUAACUAUCUGCCUCUGGAGCUUUGUUCAUUAGUUUCGCUUCAACGGUAUACAAAAGCAUUAUCUUCAAAGCAGAGGGCAUCCUUAGUUGAAAAAUCAAGGCAGAAGGCUCAGGAAAGAAUAAGAACUGUGACUGAUAUAGCUUUGCAGGUCAUGAAAGGUUUAGUUUCUUUACCACAUGUUGCAAUAAUUCUUCUUGCUCAUUUGAUUUACUAUUGUAGGCUAUGAAAAAAUACCAGUAUGAUAAUGAUCCUGUGCUUGCUACAUGUGGAAUUUCUAUAAAUAAGGACUUGACUCAGGUCAAGGGCCGUGUUCUUGAGACUCCGAAGUAGUGAAUUUGUAGCACAGUGGAAAUAUGUGGAAUGAGGGCGAUGUCUUCUACUUGCUCAUCCAAAGGAUUAUUAAGGUCUGGAAAAACUGAUUAUGGUUGUAGUAGGUUGGUCUGAAUUGCAGGAUUAUUAAGGUCUGGAAAAGUUGCAGCCUGAGAUGGACCAACUAUCUGAGGCCAAACAUGAAGAGAGGUCUUUUAUCAUAAUAUGAGGAGAAGAUAUGCGGGAUGAAGAGAUCGAAACAAAGUGAAAGCUUUUGACUGUGAAUUUUACAACCGCUGCCUUGCUGCUUUGUUAGGAAAUGGUGCCUUUCAGAGUUUGUCAUUUUUGGUUGGGGUUUUUUCAAGCUGCUGUGUUAAAAAAGCAACUUGGUGGAGGAAUGAUGUUAGAAAAAAUUGCUUGGUGGAAAAGAACCAUAUAAGAUGAAGGUUAAGGAAAGGGUGGCGUGGGGGUAAAGCUUGAGCUGGGUUUGUGGAAUGGGGCUGGAUUAGUUACAGACGGAGAAGGGGAUGGGGGUGUGGAAUGUCAGGGAGACUAAGGGAGAGGGAGCUCUGCCAAAAAUUGGGAUUAAUGUUGAGGGGAUUGUAGGGUAGAUAGGAGGCUAUGCCGCCUCUGAGAUAGAGAUAGAGAGAGACAGAGAGAGACGGAGACAGAGCGAGAGAUGGAGGGAUUUCAGGGAUUUGCAAAUUCUUCCCCUUGCUGCCUGUUCUGUUCUGAUUUGAAGAUUUCUCAAGUGGCUAUAAUUUGAUGGUAGGUUGGUUUAAAGCAGUUCCAAAAUAUGGGAUCGUUUGGGAUAUGUUCCUCUCUCUCUACAUCUCAGAUCUCUGCAGUUUCACAAAUUAGGGUCACAAAUUUCUCUCCGACUUCUGAUUUUUGAAUUUAUGCUCAGUUUUUUGUUUGUUGAGAUUUUUGGCCUAUGGUCUGAUUGACGUUGGGUUUACUCGAGUUUACAGGUCUAUGUGUGCAGCAAGCAAAAUCCUUUCAUUCAUAUGAGCUUCUUGGGCCUCUUUUACCUUCACAGCAGCUUACCUACCUGGCUUUUCUUUUGGCUCCAGAAUACCAUAUGGAGACAUAUCAUCUUUCUCUUCUCUCUCUCUCUCUCCUUCUCUUUCUCUCUUUAUGAGCGUUGUCUUUCUUUCUUUAGUUGCGCACCAUCAGGGACCGUAGUUACAUCUUAUCUUUUUGCUAUAUUUCUUUUACCUUUGAGUAUUAUGAGGAUGUGAUUUUAGACUCAUCAACGACAAAAAAAAUUGCUUUCAUUUUAUAGGAGUGAGAUUUGAUUUUUCAUGCACUUAUCUUUUAAUUUUAUUUGUUUAUUUAGUUUUCCCAAUAUUUUGGGUGAAAUUCUACCCCAUGCAUUUGGGUUUUAGUCUUUUCUAGGCCAGUUGCUAGAAAAAAAGGCGUUUUAGAGAGAGAGAGAGAAGACGGCUUGAAAAAUUUAGUAUCUUGAAGUGAUAAAGCAAAGAGAUUUCCAAAGCUAAUCAAAUUAUUAUCGUCAUCUUGCUCUCUUUGGAUUAAUUGAUGUUAUAAUGCAUUUUGAAGCUUAAAUUAUAGAUUCAUUUUCUGUAGCAAACCUUGAUUUAUCAGUGUAUAGAAAAAAUAUCAAUUCAUUUCAGUUUAAAUAUUUCUGAAAAGUUUAACAUCUGCUGAGCACGUUGAGUGUUUGUAAAUUAGCCGAAUUAUAGGGUCAUGUGCAGGUGUUUGGUUUAAAACUUCUUUUUUUUCAUGAGUUUUUAUUAAGCUUUGUGACUUUUUUUUUGUAUCUGUUGAUUUCUAAAUUACUAUAAUUAAGAACAAGAUUAGUGAAUUUAUAAUUUGCUGCUUAGCUUAACACGAUCCUUGAAUAAAAUUUGAGUCUUGGUUAAAGUUAGGUCAUAUUUUUAAGAAUCGUAAAAACUAAGGAAAUUUUCUGGGUAUCUCCUAUUCAACUUUUGUUGGCAAAUUGGUCUUUGCUAAUCAAUGUUAUUUUUGGGUGCUAACUAUUUUGGUCUUUAUAAAUUUUGGUAACGGUGAUUUCUUCUACACUUAUGAUGUGACAAUGUUGUGUAAUGA